rfam:Hordeum vulgare subsp. vulgare, WGS project CAJW01000000 data, contig: morex_contig_196809
GCCGGAAAGAGGAAGAAACAGAGAGUUCAAGAGCAAUAGAAAUGGGAACAUGGAGGAAAUACCUCCUUGUUUAUUUCCAUCUCUACUUUUGUAGGUGCAAAUAUUCGGUAUGAAUCCUUUCGUGAUGCCUCCCAUUCCUACUGUUCUUGUGCACUCCUUCCUCUUCGUUUUUGCU